rnacentral:rRNA from 1 species
AUUGAACGCUGGCGGCAGGCUUAACACAUGCAAGUCGAGCGGGGUGAUGGUGCUUGCACUAUCACUUAGCGGCGGACGGGUGAGUAAUGCUUAGGAAUCUGCCUAUUAGUGGGGGACAACGUCUCGAAAGGGAUGCUAAUACCGCAUACGUCCUACGGGAGAAAGCAGGGGAUCACUUGUGACCUUGCGCUAAUAGAUGAGCCUCAGUCGGAUUAGCUAGUUGGUGGGGUAAAGGCCUACCAAGGCGAAGAUCUGUAGCGGGUCUGAGAGGAUGAUCCGCCACACUGGGGCUGAGACACGGCCCAGACUCCUACGGGAGGCAGCAGUGGGGAAUAUUGGACAAUGGGGGGAACCCUGAUCCAGCCAUGCCGCGUGUGUGAAGAAGGCCUUAUGGUUGUAAAGCACUUUAAGCGAGGAGGAGGCUCUUUUGGUUAAUACCCAAGAUGAGUGGACGUUACUCGCAGAAUAAGCACCGGCUAACUCUGUGCCAGCCGCCGCCGUAAAAC